UACGUAGGGUGCAAGCGUUGUCCGGAAUUAUUGGGCGUAAAGAGCGCGUAGGCGGUCCGGUAAGUCGGCUGUGAAAGUCAGGGGCUCAACCCUUGAAAGCCGGCCGAUACUGUCGGACUAGAGUCCGGAAGAGGCAAGUGGAAUUCCCGGUGUAGCGGUGAAAUGCGCAGAUAUCGGGAAGAACACCCGUGGCGAAGGCGGCUCUCUGGGACGGUACUGACGCUGAGACGCGAAAGCGUGGGGAGCGAACAGG
rnacentral:rRNA from 1 species